UACGGAGGAUCCGAGCGUUAUCCGGAUUUAUUGGGUUUAAAGGGUGCGUAGGCGGCCGAGUAAGUCAGCGGUGAAAUUUUGCAGCUUAACUGUAACAGUGCCGUUGAUACUGCAUGGCUAGGAUUUGGUUGCUGUGGGUGGAAUGUGUGGUGUAGCGGUGAAAUGCUUAGAUAUCACACAGAAUAUCAAUUGCGAAGGCAGCUCACAAAGCCAAGAUUGACGCUGAGGCACGAAAGUGUGGGGAGUCAAACAGGA
rnacentral:rRNA from 1 species